AAGUAUGGAGAGGUAGGGAAGGAGAUGGAGGGAAGUGUCAUGUCACAGUGAAUGCAGCGGUGGUGGUGGUGGUGUACUGGUGAUGAUCAUCAUUCCUUCUUGCUGUUACGCCACAUGACCGUCACAAUUCCGGGUUUGAAUGGUGGUAAAGGGAUUUCCUGAAAGAUCAUCAUGUGGAGCUUUGAGGGAGAUUACCGCAGGAAGCCUCAGCAGAGGCUGGGUGGGGCAAGCAAGACCCGCAACAUUGAGCGUUCAGACCUCCUCAACCAGCUGAAGGCAGACCGGGAGGAACGGGAGAGACAGAGACGCAGAGAAGCAGCUGCAGUGACACUGCAGGCCUGGGCACGUGGUGUGUUGAGCCAGCGCCGCACCAAACUUGACCUACGCUACCAGUAUGAUUCUUACCUGGCACUCACCAAAGCACAGGGGAUAUCGGAAGGCUCAGCCAUCAGACUGAUUGCCUUGCUGAUCAGGAUAUUUCACCCACAGGAAGACAGUGACAGAUUGCUUGCCAUCUGUCAGCUGGUGAUCCGUGAACAGAAGCAGCUGGCUGAGUGGGUGUGUGGCUCAUGUGAACGAUGGACAUACCUGUUGCCUCGUCUAGCUAACAUGGCACUCAUGGUCAUCACACACCCUGUGCAAGGUGAUAACCCUGUGUCACAUGCUGGACCACUGCGCCUUCUGGAGAUUGUCCUGGCACCAGACUCAUGGCCCACUAGGCUGUCUCCAUCCCACCAACACCUCUUCCUCUCUGCAGUGUACUCACAUCUCAUCAAUAAAGGUUUUUACCAUCAAAUUGUUCAACUGUUAAUUACUCGUGUUCCUGAGGUAUAUGAAUCCUCCCAAGAGCCACCCACCCCUCUGGCUGAUGCUUUACUGCAGCUUCUGCUGAAGCCUCUCACCUUCGCUAGCAGCAUGACAGACACAAUGCUCCUGUAUUGCGUGUUGGCAGAGAUGUGUCGGCAUGUAUUGGGUGAAGCAGUCCACAGCCAGAUCUCUAAUUACAUCAUCCCUUGUUUGGCCUCCAACACAAAAUACAAAUUGCCCAUGGACAGGAUGGUGGCUGUGCUGGUCACCCACUCUCUCAAGUUCAUGGACACUUGUCCAGCUCCCGCCCUCCUCUACUCUCUCCUUAUGCUUGUACGCUCUGGUGCUGAUUUUCAAGAUGUUACCUCCCUGUGCAAUUACUUGCAAGCCAUUGGUGAACUGUUAGGAGGAACCACAUCCUAUCUGACAUGCAGUGAUGCAGAAGUGGACUCUGAUGAUGAGGAGGAAGACACCAUGGACUCCUCAAAGCCUCUCAAUCCUAUUUUAUGUAAGCUUGCAGAGGAGUGUGUGUCAGUGGUGAAUAGCACUGAGCACGUUGGGUGGCUGCUCAGUCAGGUGGAGCGGUAUGUGUCUCCCGAGGUGUUGUUUCACUUCUCCCGCCUCACACACCACCUCCUCACUGCCCCUUCCCUACAGCUCCAUCAGUGCAGGCUACUGUACAGUGUGGUAGUGCGGCGGCAGCUGCUGCGGUCCAUGUGGGUGGUGCUUUCGAGUCUGCAACAAGGGGCACCUCUUCCAGGCAGCAUCACAAACUCUCACCCAGCAUUUGGAGUGCGAGGAACACCACUGCUGCAGGUUCUGGCACGAGGGUCUCCUCUGGCCCCCUAUGAGCGGGACACACUGGUACCCCUCCUGGCUACCUUUUGUGCCACUCUCACAGCUGUCCUUUCCACACUCCAUGAUGCAGAGUUCCUUGGACAAUCUGAUGAGGCUCAGGAAGUGUAUUUACAAAAACCCACACAAAACCAGUUCCCAUUUUCUGUGGAUGAACUUGUAAAGAUGUCAGCCAGCCUGCGAGACGUGUGUGUGGGACUGGUGGAGCUGGCUCAUCCAGACACACGCAUGUCAGCCAUCACUGACACCUCCUACACUUCCUUGUGGGCACAUUGCUUCAAGGUGUGUGUUGGAGUGGUGAGGCAAAUACACUUGCGAGACACCAGGAGAAUGUUCUGUCCUGGUGGCCACUGGCUCAGCUCCCGGGUCACCCUGCCACUGAACAACUGUCAGACGGUAUCCUUCAUACCACGCACCAAUAGGAGACAGAGGAGGCUUUUCAUGCCACAGAGGCUGCUCACAAGGAAUGAAUUAGAAACGGAGGGUCCUCCAUUGUCUGUCACUGAUGAACGGAGAGGUACUAUUCUGCGAGAAAUUCCCUUUGUCAUUCCCUUUGAGUCUCGAACGCAAGUGUUCAGCAGGUUGGUGGGGAUUGACCGCAGCAUCAGUCAGAUGGGGGCGGAGUUCAAUGAGAGGCCUGUAAUUAAUGUUGCCAUCAGGAGAAGUCACCUCUAUGAAGAUGCUUUUGAAAAAAUAUCACCUAAUAAUGAGCCUAACCUGCGGCUGCGCAUGAAAGUUCGCCUGAUGAAUGCAGUGGGCCUCAAUGAAGUGGGCAUUGAUGGAGGUGGAAUAUUCCGGGAGUUUUUAUCUGAACUUCUUAAGACUGCCUUUGACCCUACAAGAGGUUUCUUCCUGCUGACUCUGGACAACACACUCUAUCCCAACCCUGGAGCACAUCUCAUAGCAGAGAACUACCAGACUCACUACUACUUCAUUGGAAGAAUGUUAGGAAAGGCACUGUAUGAAAAUCUACUGGUGGAAGUACCAAUGGCAGGAUUCUUCCUGUCUAAACUGCUGGGUCGGUCCUCUUCCUCAGCUGAGAUCCACCACUUGGAUUCUCUGGACCCAGAGUUGUGUCGCAACCUUCUCUCCCUCAAGACCUACCAAGGGGACGUCCAGGACUUGGGACUGGACUUCACAGUCCUCAACUCAAACCUGGGACAAAAUACAAUUGAGGAAUUGAUCCCCAAUGGCACCAACAUCCCUGUAAACAAUGAAAACCGCAUUGAGUACAUUUAUCGUAUGGCUGAUUACAAGUUGAACAAACAGAUUGCAAAACAGAGUCAAGCUUUCAAAAAAGCAGCACAUCUGGCAGAGGGGGACAGGGAGAGGCCAGGGAGCCUUUGUUUACAACCACGUGGUGGACAUUCGACUAUCAGGAGUGGUAGAUGUUGUUCCUCUUGAAUGGCUUCAGAUGUUUGAUUGGCGAGAACUUCAGAUGUUGAUAUCUGGUGCUUCUGUUCCUAUCGACCUUGAAGAUUUGAUGGAUAACACCAGAUAUGGCGGAAUCUACAGCACUGAGAAUUCAACAAUACAAGCCUUUUGGCAAGUCCUUAGAGAAUUCAGUGAAACACAAAAACGUCAACUUCUGAAAUUUGUCACAAGUUGUUCUAGGCCUCCACUCCUGGGAUUCAAG
rnacentral:misc_RNA from 1 species